rnacentral:rRNA from 1 species
UACCCAGACUCCUACGGGAGGCAGCAGUGGGGAAUAUUGCACAAUGGGGGAAACCCUGAUGCAGCGACGCCGCGUGAGUGAAGAAGUAAUUCGUUAUGUAAAGCUCUAUCAGCAGGGAAGAAAAUGACGGUACCUGAGUAAGAAGCCCCGACUAACUACGUGCCAGCAGCCGCGGUAAUACGUAGGGGGCAAGCGUUAUCCGGAUUUACUGGGUGUAAAGGGAGCGUAGACGGCAUGGCAAGUCAGAUGUGAAAGCCCGGGGCUCAACCCCGGGACUGCAUUUGAAGCUGUCAGGCUGGAGUGCAGGAGAGGUAAGUGGAAUUCCUAGUGUAGCGGUGAAAUGCGUAGAGAUCAAGAGGAAUACUCAUUGCGAAGGCGACCUGCUAGAACAUAACUGACGCUGAUGCGCGAAAGCGUGGGGAGCAAACAGGAUUAGAUACCCGCGUAAC